CUGUCGGUCUGCGUUUCAAAGUGAGACUCGGUGCGCUUCAAACUCCGGUCUUCGAGGUCAUUGCCGCGUCGCGAACGGACCAAUGGGGAGCUCGCGCAGACGUGCGCGUCGAGCCAUUGGAGGAAUAACAGCCCCUCGUCCCGCGUCCUCGCCGCGCGGCGAGUUCGAAGACCCGAACCUUGCGGGCGCACCGCGGCCAAGGUCGCGUGAGAGCGGUGCGGACUGAGAGCUCGCCGGAACGUUCGAGUGGGACGCAGCCGCGGCCGGUUGCGUCACACUACUAAAAUAUUUUUGGUGAUGGAACGCGAGUGAACUUGAACACGAAAACGAGCUAAUGGAUGGCAAGCGCUGUAGGUCGCCGCGUGACGGACUGACCCGCUGCCGCAUCGGCCGGUUUGCCCAAUUCUUUGGAAAUGUACAGGGUCAAUGCUCGUAAUGGUGUCAUUCACUGUCGAAGGUGACUGACUGUCGACUGAAAUGAGCCGGCUGUCCUUGAAAUUGCCACCAAAAUCGCCAAUCACCAACACAGACGCUCGCGAAGCGGGGCCAGUGACCGUUGCCGAAUUUCAAGGUCUGCGAACAGCGCGGUAAACAAGUGACGACGAUGAUAGCUGUGUACGCGAACACGUAUUAUGUGCUAUAUCAUAUUCUAAGCUCUACCUUUACAGGCGGUUGUAUAUAGACGCAUAUAAAGGAAUAUACUACGCCACAAAGAAUGUUAUUUCAUUGAUUACUUCAUGGAACAUUCAUAAUGAAACUUUGUUAUGUAAUAAGCAAAGUGCGACGUUUUGAGAUUAGCGUGAUCAUUAGUCACUACCUAAUGAUAUUUUUUCCUUUCUUCUUUGGCAAGUUUGCAUAUUAUUUUAUUUUAUAUUUUGUA